rnacentral:rRNA from 1 species
UACGAAGGGGCUAGCGUUGCUCGGAAUCACUGGGCGUAAAGGGUGCGUAGGCGGGUCUUUAAGUCAGGGUGAAAUCCUGGAGCUCAACUCCAGAACUGCCUUUGAUACUGAAGAUCUUGAGUUCGGGAGAGGUGAGUGGAACUGCGAGUGUAGAGGUGAAAUUCGUAGAUAUUCGCAAGAACACCAGUGGCGAAGGCGGCUCACUGGCCCGAUACUGAACGCUGAGGCACGAAAGCGUGGGGAGCAAAGCAGG